rfam:Lachancea thermotolerans CBS 6340 chromosome E complete sequence.
GCUCGUAUGGCACAGUGGUAGCGUAGUAGAUUGCAAAUCUAUUGGUCCUCAGUUCGAACCUGAGUGCGAGCU